rnacentral:rRNA from 1 species
AUGGCUAGAGAAGCAUGUGUUUCGGAUGCUACUGAUGUGAUCAAAUGGGGCCUGGGUGGGAGAACCUCUUUUACCACCAAAUCUGUUUACUCGUUCCUGGAAAAGAAUGUUGCUGGAUGCGACUACAGAUGGAUAUGGAGUGCCAGAAUCUCUCUCAAAAUUCAAAUAUUCUUGUGGAAACUUUUUUAGGAUGUUGUCCUGACUAGGGAUGUGAUGAAACAUCAAGGUUGGAAAGGGAAUCCAAAAUGUUCUUUUUGCGGAGGAAGAGAGACCACACAGCACUUGUUCUUUACUUGCCCUGUUGCCAGGAUAACCUGGAGGACAGUGGCAUGCAUGUUUGGCACUGCUUUGUGCCCUGAUAAUAUUUGGCAGGCCUAUUCGUGGUGUUUUACAUUCUUACCUGGAGGGAAAAAUAUUCUAUACAGCAGGGAUCGCUGUUGUGUGCUGGGCGAUCUGGUCGUGUCGCAACAGGGCUACUUUUGA